rnacentral:lncRNA from 1 species
AGUGAUUUCAAGAGUAUUUUCCACUUUCACAUCAGAAAAUCUUGAUCUUUGAGAUGCUAAUCUUCAGAAAAAAAAAGUUUACAAUCUCAUGGCAAGCAUCCAAGCUAUCUUCAAGUAUUGUUUUAAGUAUUUUAUUUGCUCAUUUAGGAGCUAUUUAUUUUGUAUAAUUUCUGUUCUUGCUGAAAUUUACUGUAACAAGUUUCAAGGAUUUGAAACUUGAAAAAAAAGUGUAAUCUAAUCUAAAAAUUAGAUUGUGAGCCUAAGAAAGGCUUGUAAGGUUGUGGUUGUAUUGUGUACUUUCCCU